AUUCGCAGCCAUAUCAACCUGCAGCCCAAGGCCAGUUACUCACUAAAGCUAAGCAGGGCUGAGCCUGGUCAGUACCUGGAUGGGAGACCACUAGGGAACACUAGGUUGCUGUUGGAA
rfam:Danio rerio chromosome 1 genomic contig CTG104, GRCz11 reference primary assembly.